CGAAAAUAAAUUACACUGAAAGGUCAGGCUUAUUGCUUGUACAGUUAGGUUAACUCCCCCCACUGACACUUUUAGAGACUGUAUUUAUGAGACCUUUUGAUUUGGAAAGGAGAGGUAUAAAAUACAUCUACAAUUUCCCCAUUACUUGCAGCAGUAUUUCAUUUUCAAGUGUCAAUUCCAAGCACUUAACUAUGGCAUUCUUUAACAGGAGUAAAUCUAAAAAGUAUGAGUUGUUUACACAAUGCUGUUAUUCAAUAUAUUAAUAAAACAAGCUUUUCUAUCCAGUGGAAAGUUAGAAAAAUCCUUCCAGAGCUUACGCAGCACAGUAAUUCACUUUAUUGCAUGUGGAACAUUUACUAAGAAUGUGUUGGCUCCUGAUUUGAAUGAGCACAUUCCUCUGACACAGCGUCUCCUCUACCAGAAGGAGAGUCCGUUUGAUUUACUAAGUAGGGAUGGAUGAACCAAUGACCCACCCAGGUUUACUUUCCCAACAUAUUUAAUGAGACAUUCAAGUAGGUACAGUGUGUUUGUUUCUUUGCUCAACUCCAGCUUUGCUUUGCUCAGCUUAUAGUAACUAGAACUGUUACCAUAAGCGAUUCCAAAUGUCUUUCCUUUCUCUUAGGCUGGUUUCAUGAUUCAUCCAUCAAACAUAACAGAAUGCGGAAGGGGACUUCUAUUACUGCAAAAUUGGUGACAAUGGUCCAAAGCUGAAGACAAAAAAAAAGUAAGAAAGAUAAUAAACAAUGAACACUUGCAUGGCAUUUAUUAUGUACCAGGCUUUGUAUUAAACAUUUUACAACCCUUAAUCCAAUUAAUCUUCACAAUAACUCUAUGAUAUAGUUACUACUAUUAUCUCCAUCUUAGAGAUGAGAAAACUGAGGCCCAAAAAUAUAAGUGAGUUGCCCAGUGACAUACAGUUUAUAAGUGGAAGAGCGAGGAUUUGAACUCAGGCACUCUGUGAGCUGACACAUAGUUUCUAAGUGGAAGAGCUAAGAUUUGAACUCCAGACUUGAAGUGUCUUGUAGCCUAGACUCUCAUAUUCUAAAGAGAGCCACCAAUAAAUGGGACCAGAUAUUUUCCACAAGGCUUACUGGACAUACUGUCUUCAUCUAUCCUCUACCACUCUCCACGUCCAGUCUACUCCCCUGAGACCUGGAGGAGGGGAAGAAGCUAUUGGAGUUUUCAGCCUGUUGCAAAAGAAGAAGAGGUUUUCCUCUCCAACACCAAAGCCAAAUGAGGUAGGGGUGAGCCUCAAGAUAAUCUCUCGUAGAUUUGGGAGAGCCUGUUAGAAAAGGAGACUGGCAUCUUGCUCCCUAGCAGUAUACUCAUGACCCUGGAGACCCUGAAGAUUUACUCAAAG
rnacentral:lncRNA from 1 species